AGAUAGGCCAACUGCAAAAGAAGCAAUGGUAAAUCCCUAGUACAUGUACACUUAUUAAUUAAAAAAAAAAAAGAAAGAAGAAAAGAGAAACACUCGACUGCUUUGGUCCAUCCUUGAAGUUAUUAUAUGUGGUGAUUUCAUUUCUGUUGUUCUUAGUCAUUGCUUAACUUGAAAUAUAACACGGUGCCUUGGUAAUUGUUGACUUCCUG
rnacentral:misc_RNA from 1 species